GUUUAAGAUUAACAGUGAUAUGGGGAGAAUUCUGUAACUCAAGUCCCCAACCAGUGUCUGCUGUUGGAACUUCUGCUGAGGAUUUGCCUGCAGUGCAGCACAUUGAAGCUGUGAAGCAACAUGUGCAAUUUAAUAUCCGUGACAUAUUAAACAAGACAGCUGAUGGAAAAGGCUUGGUUACGAGUCUUGAACAAAGUCAUCACAUUUCUCUCAACCAAAGACGAUGCAUGGUCCGAAUUCUUGUAUCACACCUGAUGGAACGCUUUGGUGAGAAUCCAACCUCAGAUAAGAAGACCAUGUUGGCGUCAGCAAUAGUGGAUCAGUUUCCCUGUCUGAGAGACCCUCUGGGCACAGGCUUUGAUGCAUGGUUCACGCCAGGGAGAAAUCACAAACCGGCAACAGGGUUUUUGGAAGAGCGUCUCCGCAAUGUUCGCAAAAGGCUCAGAAAUGGCAGGCGGAGGGAUUCAGCAGAGGGG